rnacentral:rRNA from 1 species
UACAGGGGGUGCAAACGUUGCUCGGAAUCAUUGGGCGUAAAGCGCACGUAGGCGGUUCGUUAUGUCGGAUGUGAAAGCCCUUGGCUUAACCGAGGAAGUGCAUCCGAAACUGGCGAGCUAGAGUACGAAAGAGGAUCGCGGAAUUCCCGGUGUAGAGGUGAAAUUCGUAGAUAUGGGGAGGAACACCGGUGGCGAAGGCGGCCACCUGGACGGUAACUGACGCUGAGACGCGAAAGCGUGGGGAGCAAACAGG